rnacentral:rRNA from 1 species
UGGGACUGAGACACGGCCCAAACUCCUACGGGAGGCAGCAGUAGGGAAUCUUCCACAAUGGACGCAAGUCUGAUGGAGCAACGCCGCGUGAGUGAAGAAGGCUUUCGGGUCGUAAAACUCUGUUGUUGGAGAAGAAUGGUCGGCAGAGUAACUGUUGUCGGCGUGACGGUAUCCAACCAGAAAGCCACGGCUAACUACGUGCCAGCAGCCGCGGUAAUACGUAGGUGGCAAGCGUUAUCCGGAUUUAUUGGGCGUAAAGCGAGCGCAGGCGGUUUUUUAAGUCUGAUGUGAAAGCCCUCGGCUUAACCGAGGAAGCGCAUCGGAAACUGGGAAACUUGAGUGCAGAAGAGGACAGUGGAACUCCAUGUGUAGCGGUGAAAUGCGUAGAUAUAUGGAAGAACACCAGUGGCGAAGGCGGCUGUCUGGUCUGUAACUGACGCUGAGGCUCGAAAGCAUGGGUAGCGAACAGGAUUAGAUACCCUGGUAGUCCAUGCCGUAAACGAUGAAUGCUAGGUGUUGGAGGGUUUCCGCCCUUCAGUGCCGCAGCUAACGCAUUAAGCAUUCCGCCUG